UACAGAGGUCUCAAGCGUUGUUCGGAUUCAUUGGGCGUAAAGGGUGUGUAGGUGGCGCCGUAAGUCGGGUGUGAAAUUUCGGAGCUUAACUCCGAAACUGCAUUCGAUACUGCGGUGCUCGAGGACUGGAGAGGAGACUGGAAUUCAUGGUGUAGCAGUGAAAUGCGUAGAGAUCAUGAGGAAGACCAGUGGCGAAGGCGGGUCUCUGGACAGUUCCUGACACUGAGACACGAAGGCCAGGGGAGCAAACGGG
rnacentral:rRNA from 1 species